UAGUACAAUAUAGUGUCGCAAAAUCGACUUUGACAGUAUAUCACUUCUAAAUUAUCAAGUUAAUUAGUGAAAUGGGAACGAUGAAAUAACAACACAAUGAUAAAACAGAAAUAUUCCGAAAAUAGAUCACACACUAAAAACUGAUCCAAAAUAGAUGCCACAUGAUAUCGUUUCAUAUAGCAGAGUGUGUCAAACUAGAUCCGAAAGAUCAACGUAAAUCAAUAGCUGAACCCUAGUUGUCUGCAUCGUGUAAUGCCAUUGAAUAACAUCGCGUAUGGUUUAGCUACCGAUGUACGACACUACACACACACACACGCGCGCGCGCGCGCGCGCACAGAGACAACUAAUAGUUCCAGAGUUGGUUGCACCCCAAUUUUAUGAUUUAUCACAUUUUACAGAAUUAUAAUACUUCAUAUGUUCAUUACGCUUACAUCUUAUACAAUGUAUCUCGUAACUGACGAUACAACCGAAGAGAAGAUGAUAUUAUAUGAGAAGAUAAAUUGAGAACAUGCAACAAGGUUUUUCCACUCCGAGAUGUACUAUCAUUUCACCGUUCCCAUUUCGCGCAUUAUUCUGAUAAACGAAACGAAUUUUUGCGUCUAUAUAUUAUACAAUUAUAAGAAAUAUUUAUAUGCCAUUCGUUAAAUUUGGACAAUCAACACAUCACUGAAUGAUACGCAAUGAUGAAAAUACAUAUAGGAUAAAUGGAUACCGGUCUUUAAUGACGGCUCAGCUUAAUUUGCAUGCGGAUAUACAGCAUACAAUAACGAUUGGGUAAAAAUAGGAGUAAGAACAUGAUUCUAUUUUUCGUGCAAUUGAUUUGUCAAACGUCAAUGAAGCUUUAUUGAGUACAGAAUCCAUGACAAAAAAAAAUGUAGGUACCUCCACUUCUAAUAUAUGCAUGUAUAUGUUUUAUAUACAUUUUAAGAUCUCGUUCGAAUGGAAUAUUCAAACUGGUAAAAGUUACAAUAGGGUAUUCUAUGGUUUUCAUUUGCUUGAAAAAUGAAACAACAACUGUUCUCAAUAAUUAUCUUACAAUAAUUUAUA